rnacentral:lncRNA from 1 species
AUUAAGAUAAAUAGUUUAUAAGAGAUUAAGUAAGAUAAAUAAGGACCACCCAAUUCCAUGGUUAUGCUAACAAUGCCCCCAACAUAAAACUGUUUGUAUGCAUUCAAAUAGCUUGACUCCUCAUUUCAUCACUUUAUAUGUUUAGCUCCGAUGUGAUUGUUGCUUGUUUUAUUUUGAUGUCUUUGAGUGACAUAUUUUUAGUGUUUCUUGCUUUCUAUUUGUUAG